ACCGUUUUCGACUGUUGCAGCGUCCAACCUGAAAUCCACUGACAGCCUAUUCCUUACCAUUGCUUCUGGUGACAUUCCAUGGAUUUGCAUUAGCAUGUGUGUGGAACAUUCUGAGGCCCACUUCUAAUCGAGUGAAUGGAGACAGACCUCACACAGCUCCGAUGUGCAAGCCAAUGUUCAGAGCAGAAAACAGAUGCAAAAGAAGCAAGACUUGGCAGAUGACAGACAAACAGACGGACAGACCAAUAUAAAAGAAAACCAUCUGGUCCUGCAGUUUCUUCCCUUCAGCCUUUAGAAUGCUUUAGAACACUGCCUGUGCCAGUCGCUGCUGGGGUGUGGCCUGGACAGAGAAGAUGGCACAGAGUGGAUGAUGAGAUGGGGGAUUCAGGCCCCAGCCUGGAGCUGCUCUGCAAGGGGAGUAGAAGAAGAAGAGGCACCAGCAGGCCCUAGAGGUGAUCCAACAGGCACUCUCAUCCUCUCAACUGUUGCAAAAGGAUUGGUGGUUAGUGGGAUAAUCCAGCGGUGUGGACGCUUCAGAUAGCUGCCUCCACAUGUGAGGAAGGAAGAGAAAAGAAUAGUAUACCCGACCAGCACAAUGAGAAUCUUAGGCAGCGUAUGUACAGUUGCUUAAAGAAAAGGCAGAGCUCUGCCAAAAUGAUGUAAACAAUUACAGCACAAGGCAUGGUUUUGAAUAUUUUGUGUGUGGGUUAUGUUAUUUUUGAUUGAGUGGGUCAUGUCCUGUUGCAAGCUGUCAUUACAUGCAGAUCACUUCUAACCUACAUAUAAUUUACCAUAGUACAAAGACCUACAGUAUAUUCCUCUUCAGUCAAAUAGUACUACUGUCUUUCUGAAAAUUAAUAUUUUCACCUGUCCCUAACACCUGCUUGUGAAAAUAUUUUCAAAAUGCUGCUUUUAUAGCUCAGUUAAGCAAUGAUUUCAAAUUAACAUUGAAAUUAACAUUUUCACUAAACUAUGGUAGUUGUAGCCUUGAACUCUAACAAAGCUGUUGAAUGAAUUCCUUAGCUUAUUAAACAUUUGCAAAGCUGAUUUCUUUAAUACUGAAAGACAAGCAUCUUUUACAUGCAUGUUUGCUUGCUUCUUAUUCACUGUCUUUGUUGCCGCAUUGCUGCGUUUGUUGGCUCAUUACUGUCACCAACUGUUGAUCAUUCAAAAAGCGUGAAAGUGUGAAUCUUUGUGUGUUUGCCCGAAACAAAAACAAUGAGGGACCCACCCAUUAAAACAUUGCUCCAUAGUGCUACUAGUGGUCAAAGAUGCCAGCGGGCCC